rnacentral:rRNA from 1 species
UUAAGCGACUAAGCGUACACGGUGGAUGCCCUGGCAGUCAGAGGCGAUGAAGGACGUGCUAAUCUGCGAAAAGCGUCGGUAAGGUGAUAUGAACCGUUACAGCCGGCGAUGUCCGAAUGGGGAAACCCAGUGCAAUUCGUUGCACUAUCGUUAACUGAAUACAUAGGUUAACGAGGCGAACCGGGGGAACUGAAACAUCUAAGUACCCCGAGGAAAAGAAAUCAACCGAGAUUCCCCCAGUAGCGGCGAGCGAACGGGGAGCAGCCCAGAGUCUGAAUCAGCUUGUGUGUUAGUGGAACGGUCUGGAAAGUCCGACGGUACAGGGUGAUAGUCCCGUACACCAAAAUGCACAGGCUGUGAACUCGAAGAGUAGGGCGGGACACGUGGUAUCCUGUCUGAAUAUGGGGGGACCAUCCUCCAAGGCUAAAUACUCCUGACUGACCGAUAGUGAACCAGUACCGUGAGGGAAAGGCGAAAAGAACCCCGGCGAGGGGAGUGAAAAAGAACCUGAAACCGUGUACGUACAAGCAGUGGGAGCACCUUCGGGUGUGACUGCGUACCUUUUGUAUAAUGGGUCAGCGACUUAUAUUCUGUAGCAAGGUUAACCGUAUAGGGGAGCCGCAGGGAAACCGAGUCUUAACUGGGCGUUAAGUUGCAGGGUAUAGACCCGAAACCCGGUGAUCUAGCCAUGGGCAGGUUGAAGGUUGGGUAACACUAACUGGAGGACCGAACCGACUAAUGUUGAAAAAUUAGCGGAUGACUUGUGGCUGGGGGUGAAAGGCCAAUCAAACCGGGAGAUAGCUGGUUCUCCCCGAAAGCUAUUUAGGUAGCGCCUCGUGAAUUCAUCUUCGGGGGUAGAGCACUGUUUCGGCUAGGGGGUCAUCCCGACUUACCAACCCGAUGCAAACUACGAAUACCGAAGAAUGUUAUCACGGGAGACACACGGCGGGUGCUAACGUCCGUCGUGAAGAGGGAAACAACCCAGACCGCCAGCUAAGGUCCCAAAGUCAUGGUUAAGUGGGAAACGAUGUGGGAAGGCACAGACAGCCAGGAUGUUGGCUUAGAAGCAGCCAUCAUUUAAAGAAAGCGUAAUAGCUCACUGGUCGAGUCGGCCUGCGCGGAAGAUGUAACGGGGCUAAACCAUGCACCGAAGCUGCGGCAGCGACACUAUGUGUUGUUGGGUAGGGGAGCGUUCUGUAAGCCUGCGAAGGUGUGCUGUGAGGCAUGCUGGAGGUAUCAGAAGUGCGAAUGCUGACAUAAGUAACGAUAAAGCGGGUGAAAAGCCCGCUCGCCGGAAGACCAAGGGUUCCUGUCCAACGUUAAUCGGGGCAGGGUGAGUCGACCCCUAAGGCGAGGCCGAAAGGCGUAGUCGAUGGGAAACAGGUUAAUAUUCCUGUACUUGGUGUUACUGCGAAGGGGGGACGGAGAAGGCUAUGUUAGCCGGGCGACGGUUGUCCCGGUUUAAGCAUGUAGGCUGGUUAUCCAGGCAAAUCCGGAUAAUCAAGGCUGAGGUGUGAUGACGAGGCACUACGGUGCUGAAGUAACAAAUGCCCUGCUUCCAGGAAAAGCCUCUAAGCAUCAGGUAACAUCAAAUCGUACCCCAAACCGACACAGGUGGUCAGGUAGAGAAUACCAAGGCGCUUGAGAGAACUCGGGUGAAGGAACUAGGCAAAAUGGUGCCGUAACUUCGGGAGAAGGCACGCUGGUGUGUAGGUGAAGCCCCUGCGGGUGGAGCUGAGACCAGUCGAAGAUACCAGCUGGCUGCAACUGUUUAUUAAAAACACAGCACUGUGCAAACACGAAAGUGGACGUAUACGGUGUGACGCCUGCCCGGUGCCGGAAGGUUAAUUGAUGGGGUUAUCCGUAAGGAGAAGCUCUUGAUCGAAGCCCCGGUAAACGGCGGCCGUAACUAUAACGGUCCUAAGGUAGCGAAAUUCCUUGUCGGGUAAGUUCCGACCUGCACGAAUGGCGUAAUGAUGGCCAGGCUGUCUCCACCCGAGACUCAGUGAAAUUGAACUCGCUGUGAAGAUGCAGUGUACCCGCGGCAAGACGGAAAGACCCCGUGAACCUUUACUAUAGCUUGACACUGAACAUUGAGCCUUGAUGUGUAGGAUAGGUGGGAGGCUUUGAAGCGUGGACGCCAGUCUGCGUGGAGCCAACCUUGAAAUACCACCCUUUAAUGUUUGAUGUUCUAACGUUGGCCCCUGACCGGGGUUGCGGACAGUGUCUGGUGGGUAGUUUGACUGGGGCGGUCUCCUCCCAAAGCGUAACGGAGGAGCACGAAGGUUAGCUAAUCCUGGUCGGACAUCAGGAGGUUAGUGCAAUGGCAUAAGCUAGCUUGACUGCGAGCGUGACGGCGCGAGCAGGUGCGAAAGCAGGUCAUAGUGAUCCGGUGGUUCUGAAUGGAAGGGCCAUCGCUCAACGGAUAAAAGGUACUCCGGGGAUAACAGGCUGAUACCGCCCAAGAGUUCAUAUCGACGGCGGUGUUUGGCACCUCGAUGUCGGCUCAUCACAUCCUGGGGCUGAAGUAGGUCCCAAGGGUAUGGCUGUUCGCCAUUUAAAGUGGUACGCGAGCUGGGUUUAGAACGUCGUGAGACAGUUCGGUCCCUAUCUGCCGUGGGCGCUGGAGAAUUGAGGGGGGCUGCUCCUAGUACGAGAGGACCGGAGUGGACGCAUCACUGGUGUUCGGGUUGUCAUGCCAAUGGCACUGCCCGGUAGCUAAAUGCGGAAGAGAUAAGUGCUGAAAGCAUCUAAGCACGAAACUUGCCCCGAGAUGAGUUCUCCCUGAGACUUUAAGUCUCCUGAAGGAACGUUGAAGACGACGACGUUGAUAGGCCGGGUGUGUAAGCGCAGCGAUGCGUUGAGCUAACCGGUACUAAUGAACCGUGAGGCUUAACCU